rnacentral:rRNA from 1 species
UACGAAGGGGCUAGCGUUGUUCGGAAUUACUGGGCGUAAAGCGAGUGUAGGUGGUUGUCCAAGUUGGAUGUGAAAGCCCAGGGCUCAACCCCUGGAAUUUGCCUUUGAUACUGGCGAUCUUGAGUACGGGAGAGGUGUGUGGAACUCCGAGUGUAGAGGUGAAAUUUCGUAGAUAUUCGGAAGAACACCAGUGGCGAAGGCGACACACUGGCCCCGUUACUG